rnacentral:rRNA from 1 species
UGAGCAAUCUGCCCUUCUCAUCGGAAUAAGCGUUGGAAACGACGUCUAAUGCCGAAUACGACCUCCUUUCGCAUGAUCGGAGGUGGAAAGCUCCGGCGGAGAAGGAUGAGCUCGCGGCAUAUCAGCUUGUUGGCGGGGUGACGGCCCACCAAGGCGACGACGGGUAGCCGGCCUGAGAGGGUGAACGGCCACACUGGGACUGAGACACGGCCCAGACUCCUACGGGAGCAG